UACGUAGGGGGCUAGCGUUGUCCGGAAUCAUUGGGCGUAAAGCGCGUGUAGGCGGUCCGGUAAGUCCGCUGUGAAAGUCGGGGGCUCAACCCUCGGAUGCCGGUGGAUACUGUCGGGCUUGAGUACGGAAGAGGCGAGUGGAAUUCCUGGUGUAGCGGUGAAAUGCGCAGAUAUCGAGAGGAACACCUGAGGUGAAGACGGGUUGCUGGGCCGACACUGACGCUGAGUGCGCGAAAGCCAGGGGAGCAAACGGG
rnacentral:rRNA from 1 species